AGAGUUUGAUUCUGGCUCAGAUUGAACGCUGGCGGCGUGCUUAACACAUGCAAGUCGAACGUGAAAGUCCUUCGGGGCGAGUAAAGUGGCGCACGGGUGAGUAACGCGUGGAUAAUCUACCCUUAAGAUGGGGAUAACGGCUGGAAACGGUCGCUAAUACCGAAUACGCUCCCGAUUUUAUCAUUGGGGGGAAAGAUGGCCUCUGCUUGCAAGCUAUCGCUUAAGGAUGAGUCCGCGUCCCAUUAGCUAGUUGGCGGGGUAACGGCCCACCAAGGCAACGAUGGGUAGCCGGUCUGAGAGGAUGACCGGCCACACUGGAACUGGAACACGGUCCAGACUCCUACGGGAGGCAGCAGUGGGGAAUAUUGCGCAAUGGGCGAAAGCCUGACGCAGCGACGCCGCGUGAGGGAUGAAGGUUUUCGGAUCGUAAACCUCUGUCAGGGGGGAAGAAACCCCCUCGUGUGAAUAAUGCGAGGGCUUGACGGUACGCCCAAAGGAAGCACCGGCUAACUCCGUGCCAGCAGCCGCGGUAAUACGGAGGGUGCAAGCGUUAAUCGGAAUCACUGGGCGUAAAGCGCACGUAGGCGGCUUGGUAAGUCAGGGGUGAAAUCCCACAGCCCAACUGUGGAACUGCCUUUGAUACUGCCAGGCUUGAGUACCGGAGAGGGUGGCGGAAUUCCAGGUGUAGGAGUGAAAUCCGUAGAUAUCUGGAGGAACACCGGUGGCGAAGGCGGCCACCUGGACGGUAACUGACGCUGAGGUGCGAAAGCGUGGGUAGCAAACAGGAUUAGAUACCCUUGUAGUCCUAGGA
rnacentral:rRNA from 1 species